rnacentral:lncRNA from 1 species
AGAAAGCAGCGACCCCAGUGACUGACUUUCAGCUAGUUAUUUCUUUCCUCCCCCCACCCUCUGGUUCAUUUCUGCUUCAGCUGAGCCCUCACAAACGAGGACGUGAUCCGGGGAGGCUCGGGGUCUCUCUCGAACGGGAGGAACAUCAUCGCUUCGUGAACAGCUACCAACCUGCCGCCGGAUUUGAGUGAAACUAGUCCGAAUCUGGCUUAAUGGUACAGAGGUACGUAAAUUUAGAAUUGAAGGGAAUAGAAGUUUUGUUAUUUAAACUUGUAGAUCAUGGCACUGGCUUUAGUUGGAGGGGCUGCUGUUGGAGCACUGUUUGGAGCUCUCUAUGAUGUGGUUAAGGUAAGCCACGGGAAAGACUGUUAUGCAGUAUAGACCCUUACUUGGAGAUCUCAAAUUCACGCUUGAUUCUCUAAGACUGCUGAUGAGUAGAUUUUAUAUUAUAUGUUCAACCUUGUUCUUAAUAUAUUUUGGUAGAAUUUUGAUACUUUGAAUUGUAUUUUCAAUAUAGGACUUUCAACUUCCUCUGGAGCAAAACGUGAUCAACUGGUUGAAUUUUGGAGUGAUUCCAAUUGGAGAACGUUCGUGAGUCACUUGGCUUGAUCGUAUCAAAAUUUGGAAGUUUUCUACCAAGCGGUGAUUUUCUAACGAUAGAAUAAAGGAGCAGUGCGCAGUGCUGAAAAAGUAACGUUUUAAGCUUGAAUUGCGUUUUUGGAGCCCAAGAUGACCUCUAAUGAGUUCGUGGCCUUGUGGAUAUAUGUUUAGAACGUCCCGAUCUUCAAAACAAACUAUAAUGGGCCGGAUUUUCUAAGAUAUUUUAUUAUUAUUUAGUUUCCUACUUGGAAUAAAAGACUUGGUUUUAGGGAUUGUGCGAUGUCUAGGAUGGGAUUUUAAAAAGGUUUUGGCCAGCCCUAGUUUAUUAGGUUCUUUUAUGCGAUCUUGGAGACAAAAAAAAAAAAAAAGGCUAGGGUUUUUGAAGGCUUUCAAAUUUUUACUUUAAGGUAUUGUCAUUCUUAUUCAUUGUAAUAAUAUUUUUAUGAUUUUAAUUAUGAAUAUGCGUAGCUAAUCCGUUUUGCUAGGGCGAAUCCUUAAGUCUUAGUGUGAAUAUGUAAUUUUUGUUUAAUUGCUUAUGAUUGAUUGCAUGCACAAUUUGAAUUAGUGAUCACCGUUUUAAACUAUCUAACCGUCUUAAUGCUUGAUCACUAUGAGGAUCUUUAGAAAAGCAAAUUGAUGCAAUUUUGGUCGAAAGAUUCCCUGAAAUUGACGCUGGCUUCUUGUGAUUAAUAAUUGUAAUUUCACUUAAAAUGAACAUCACGUUUUUAGGGUUGCAUGGUUUUUUCAAAAGGUUUUCAUAAAGCAUAAUAAAUCUCUCAUGUUUAUAUUUAAUCCGAACGUCCGGACAGAUUGCAUGUUAGAUAUACGUUCUAUGUUGAAGGUUCCAAGUAGAAUAUAUAUUAGGAUAACCUAACCUUCAAAGUGGCAUGUGCAGAUCAUAAGUAAUUGGUAACAAUACAUAGGAUUGCUAGGUGAUGGUAAAACCCUAGUGCUUUUAUAAAUUGGUAUUCAAAACUCGUUUAUUUUAUUGUAUUAGUUUUGGAGGAAUUUACUAUUUGUUUUUAAUUAAAAUUAAUUUUUAAUAUUACCCAAUUUCAAAAUUUCUUUCUCAAUUUUUAGUUUUAAAUAAUUAACUAGGAAUUGUUUUUACAUAAAUGAUUGAAAUAGUCCUUGUGCAGGAGAUGUUUUUUUUUUUUUUUAAGUUGUGCAGGAGAUGGUAAAGUUGUUAAGAUUUCCUAGCCGUUAGGGUUUGGUCUCCUAGUUUGUAGGCUUGUUUUCAGAAGUUGUUAAUAAUCCCUAUUCUUUAGGGACCAGUUAUUUAGUUUGAUUCUGAUUUAGUCGUGUACCACGUUGUUAGGGUUGUGAAACGUGGGCUGCAUAUUUUCUUUCUUAAUGAAUAACCCAGAUUCUCCCAGCUAUCGAGUGUAUAAGCAAACAUAAUAUUUUCGUGUUUUUUCUUGUGUGUUCAUCCUAGGUUUCUAACAGGAGAGAGGUGAUGUGAUCAAGGAGACAUCGUUUGCAGCAAGUAACAUAGAGGAAGGCGUCAAGCUAAUGGAAGGGAGUGGUGUGUUACAAGACCAAAACGGAAUCAAAGGUUUGUACUAAGUCGUUGAACCACCAUCACCGAAAGUUAUAUUGGAUGUACUGAAUCUGCAGGGAACAAUGGAUGUGGAGGAGACAUCAGAUUCCACGGUGAAUAUGGAGGCAGGGGUCAAGCAAAUCAAGGAGAGUGGUGUGGUGAAAAAUCAAAUUGAUAUUGCAGUAACUGAACCCCCGUUGCUUAGAGAUGGAUUGGAAGUAGCGAACAUGCAGGGAACAAGGGAUAAUAAGCAAAUUGAGGGGAUAGGAGUGGUCGCGCUCCAAGCUCCAGUUUCUGAAUGUGAACUUCCAUCGCUUACACUCGAAUCGAACGUCCAAUUUGGGCUCUUAGAUUCAAUGAGUAGCUUCGAAGACAACCAGCAAGUACUAGACUGGCAGCAGCAGCAGCAAAACUCUUAUAUGGUACGACUAAAUUCUUACAUUCUCUUCUUUUUAACUGUGUAGUCGGAAGCCUAGUUUUGAACCUUAUUCUGAGACCAUAUCAUUUUUCAUGAACAGGAAGAGGCGCUGAACAGCCAGCAGCAGUCACUGAAUUUCAGUAAGUACUUCAAUUUGCCAACAGAGAAGGCAGGACUUGAGUCUGAAGUUGAAUUUGAGCCACUACCGGGUUUAUCCCAAGCCAUUGACACGAGCCUUGCAUAUGUGCAGAGUAGGCAACAUGUUGAUGCUCCAGAGCCUCAUUACCUAAAUAGAACUCGAUUGUCUCAGCAUGUUAGUCAGAUAAAGUCAAAUGCUGGGUUUACCUGGGGAAAGUAUGGGUAAGAACAAGUGGAACGUAGUAAAUAUCCGUGUAGUUAUUACAAGUGUACAUAUCCCAAAUGUCCAACAAGGAAGAAGCUUGAGAGAUCAUUGAAUGGAGAGAUUACUGAAAUCGUAUACAAGGGAAGUCACAACCAUCCUAAGCCCCAGUCUACAAGACAAUCAACCUCUCGACCAAUUGAGCGUUCUUCAUACGGACUCUUUGAUCAAUUGGCCCCAAAAAUAUCCAACCCAAAAGUUGAAUCAGCCACGACGCUGGAUGAUUUGGAAAAAAAAUCUCUGACCAGUAAUUCAGGAGUUGAAGAUGAAAAUGAGCCUGUCAUCAAAGAAUGGUAAUCUCGGACGAUUCUAGUUAGGACUGUAUAUGUCAUAUGAUAGCCAAAAUUGCAUAUGCGGUAAUGGUUUUUUUUUUUUUUUUUUUUGUUUUUUGUUUUUUUUGUUCUUCUUUUGCAGGGAUGUAGGAAACGCAAAUGAUCAGACAACUCAUACCUUUUCUGCUUCUGGGAGUAGCAUUGUAAAAGAACCCAAACUAUGGUGAAGACAAUAAGUGAAAUUGAUCUUGUGGAUGAUGGAUAUAAGUGGAAGAAAUAUGCACAGAGAGUAAUAGAUGGAAAUUUUCUUCCAAGCAAACACUUCCCCAACUCGGCUGCUUAUAUCCUAUUCAACUGUUUUCCAAUCUGUAGGGCCUACUACAAAUGCACGUAAAGGAAACACAAGCACGACAUUCUUGGAAAAUAUUAGUAUUUUAAGUAUUAUAUUGUUUGAGUUUUUUUAUAAGUUUUCGGCCUAACAUGUUAGUAUUAGGGUUAGAUUUGUUCGCUAUAAAUAUAAUGUUUCGUAUCCCUGAAGAAUAACUUAGUCACGAUGUAACCUUUUUGGAUUUUGUAACUGUUCCGACAUUAUUCUUAUUAUUUUGUAAUCUUGUUUGUACCGUCCUCUGAUAUUCAAUAUCAAUAUCAGAGCAUGUGUGAUCAUUCGGGAUUUAAUCUAUUAUUGAUAUGUAUCAAUCAGUUGUUUGUUUGAUAUUAGUUUUGAAAAAAAAAAAAUUGAAUAUGUUUGCUCGGAAGUUGCACCACUCCCAGAUCCCUGCAUACCCAAAACCCCCAGCCAGCAACCGCCGCUUCAAACUUGCCGUGCCCAAUUUUUCUACAACCUGCCGCUGCUGUUAACUGGAGCCCAGAAACAUACCCACAUCGCCACCACGCCCACCAUGCCCUCCUUGAACUAGAACUCGACCUGCAAUCUGACCUCCGCAUCAGACCUGUCUCUGUCAAGUCGUACCAGAUAGAAAACUACUGCCCAGAAAGGGGUAUUUAUCAAAUAUAGCUAAAUAUUAACCCUGAAUUUAAAAAAUGUCAAUUUUUACAAAAAAAAUUCAAAUAUAUCUAAAAUCUCACUUACGUAGAUAUAAAUACCCUCAAAUUCAAUAUCCAACAAUUUGUAGUUGAUUGUAAAAGUUUGGUCAUGCGUUUUCAAUAUAAUCAAAUAGAACACAUUCAUGUCUUCGAUUAUACUGAAAAAGCAUGGAAAAGUUUUUACCAUUCAAUUAUAUAUUGAAUGAGUAUGGACAAAUUUUGCCAUGUCUUAGUUGGGUAGAUUAUAAAAUGUAAAAAGGCCUGUAGGGAACAAAGUCGAAUAUAUAUUUUUUUUUUUCCAACCUGGGAUUGUCCUUGUUGCUGAGAAAUAAUGAUCUAUUACACCAAUGAAAAUUCUAACCCUUCGGUUCUGGAGUUACAGAGUUUAACUGAGAAUAAUGAGUUCAGGUUAAGAGCGACCAAAAUUGCUGAUAACACCGUCUCAUUAACUUUGCGCAUUGCUGAUACAUGUGGUAAGUACAUUUGCCGUGCAAAAAGUUUUACUUCCCCCCCUUAUUUUCCUGAACUACACCUGAAUAUUAUUUGUUUAUACAGGUCGUGUGAGGAAUAUCCAUUUUGAGUUCUAUCUGGAUUCUGAUACCGCAAUUUCAAUUGCUGGGGAGAUGGUUGAGCAACUUGAUCUUUCGCAUGAAGAUGUGUCUGUCAUAGCUGAGUUAAUUGAUAACUUGAUCAUGAAGCUAGUACCUGGCUGGAAACCUUCAUCAGAAGGUUCAUCAUGUGGAACAAAUAGUUCAUAUGGGGAUCAUCCUGCACCGCAAAAUGUUGUCUCACAUUUUGCAAAUGCGGAGGACCGAGAUGACCAAGCAUCAAUGAUUUUAGAUACUUCGGCUACCUCGGCUGAGUAUGGUGUCCCUACUGCCUCAGGUGCCAGUAAUGUCAAAGUAUGGAGUCGGCUAAAUACAGUUCUGAUGAAUGCUGUAAAGCUUCAGAUGGUUACGGUACCAGUCCAGAUUGUAUGGUUCAGGGUGCGGUCAGGGAGAAGAGUUACGAAGCUGAUUCUGGUGAUUCAGUUGUGAUGAAUGAGGUACGCCCUGACAUGUCAAGCAUUUGUUCCUUAUCUGAGUGUUGUGCUAGGAUAGCACCAAACCUUUUAGAACCAACUCUUUUUAACCCACAGGAAAUAUAUCAAAUGAAAAUGCAAGAACAAAAUAGAGAAAAUAACACCAAGAUUUUAACGAGGUUCCUCAACAGUCAGUGUAACUGGAGUACAUCCUCGGAGCAGUAGGAGUUUACCCAAUAAUUCACUAUCAACCAAAUGGGAGUUUACAAAGUGUUGGCAAUCUCACAACCCAAAUAACCCAAUACACCCAAUAGCUCCCACACACCAAAGAAACAAAUAGAGGAUAUAAUGAAUAAUUUCUUCUCUAUACAUAUAGCUCAAAGCUAUUACAACAACAACUACUUUGGUGGAUGAUUACUAACCAAAUGAAGCAGCAACUUCUUCUUUCUUUUGGGCUCUCUACAACUCUCCUUGCUCUCGGCAGAAAAUGAGCUCACUUACUGAAAAUGAGCUCUUCCUUCCUUAUUUCAUCUAUCCGAAAAAAACCUCAUAAUUAUGGCUUUAAAAAAAACCACAAAACAUGCCACAAAACAAGGAAACAUAAUCAUGUUGUCCUUUUUUUUCUUUAUAAUUUUUUAUAGCCAAAAGUUGGCCACUUGGCCACAUACUCCAACAAUCUCCACCUUGGCCAAGUUCCGAAAAACGUCAUGAUAAGCCAACCAACACAAUUAACACACAACAUCACUCCCAAACACUAGCAAGAAAACAACUCAUGCCGAGCCAAAUGCUCCAAAACUCCUACUGCUCAACGCCUUCUUUAUAUAGGCAAAAUAUGAGCCAAGUUCAAGCAAUGAACAAACUUGGCUACACCAACAACCUUAGUCAACAUAUCAGCGGGGUUGUCUUUAGUUGGAAUCUUCUGGAGAAGGAUUUCUCCUUCACCAACAAUUUCACGAACAAAGUGAUAACGCACAUCUAUGUGCUUGGUCCUCGCAUGAUGAACCUGAUACUUAGCCAAAUAAAUGGCACUUUGACUAUCACAAUGUACCUCCACCUGCUUCUGAUCAACCCCCAAAUCUCUAAUCAGCCCAUGUAUCCAAAUGACCUCCUUUAUAGCUUCAGCAACUGCCAUAUAUUCAGCCUCUAGUAGACAAGGCAACAAAUGACUGCAAAAUGGACCUCCAACAAACUGGUCCUUUAGCCAUAGUAAACACAUAACCUGUUGUAGACUUCCUUCCAUCCAGAUCACCUGCAUAAUCUGAAUCAACAUAACCAAUUGCAAAAUGACCAAUACCAGAGUCAUCUCUCUCAAAGCAUAAACCAACAUCUCGAGUACCAUGGAGAUAUCUCAAUAUCCACUUAGCUGCUUACCAAUGCUCUUUACCUGGAUUAUGCAUAUAUCGACUAACCAUGCCAACUGCAUGAGCAAUAUCCGGUCUAGAACAUACCAUUGCAUACAUCAAACUACCAACCAAAUUUGCAUAUGGUAUAUUUUUCAUUUGCAGCUUCUCUUUAUCAGUUUUAGGACAUUGUAGAGAACUCAAUUUAAAAUGAGGAGCCAAAGGGGUACUAACCGGUUUGGUUGAAUCAUGAACUCCAAACUUCCGGAUCAACUUCUCAAGGUAUUGUCUUUGAUUCAAACUGACCAAACCCUUCUCUCUAUCUCUAGUGAUCUCCAUGCCAAGGAUCUUCUUCGCUUCACCAAGAUCCUUCAUCUCGAACUCGUUCUUCAUUUGUUUCUUCAAUUUCUCAAUCUCUUCAACAUUCUUUGAGGUAAUCAACAUAUCAUCAACAUAUAUCAAUAAAUAAAUGAAAGAUCCAUCUUGCAACUUUUUGAAGUACACACAAUGAUCAUAUUGACUUCUAGAAUAAUUUUGGCCUCUCAUAAAUUUAUCAAACCUCAAAUACCAUUGCCUUGGAGAUUGCUUCAAGCCAUAAAGUGAUUUCUUCAAUUUGCAAAACAAAUUUUCCUUCCCUUUCACUAUAUACCCAUCCGGUUGACACAUAUAGAUCUCUUCAUUCAAAUCACCAUGUAGGAAAGCCGUCUUCACAUCGAGUUGCACAAGCUCAAGAUCAUAUUGUGCAACAAGAGCUAACAUAAUACGAAUUGAGGAGUGCUUCACAACCGGAGAAAAGAUUUCAUUGUAGUCAAUGCCCUCCCUUUGUGCAUACCCUUUAGCAACUAAUCUUGCUUUAAAUCUCACAUUGCUUUUCUCAUCAGCAUCUUCCUUCUUGGCAUACACUCAUUUGCAACCGAUAGCUUUCUUGCCCUUAGGCAAUUUAGCUAACUCCCAAGUCUUGUUCUUCAAGAGAGAAUUCAUCUCAUCACCCAUGGCAUUGCACCACCUCUUCUUCUCCUCACUCUCAAUGGCUUCCUCGAAAUUGGAUGGAAUAUCAUCAAUGAUAAUUGGAAGAGCAAAAGCAACAUAGUCACUAUACCGAGCUGGCUUGGUAAUUUGUCUCUUUCCUCUGUUCUUGGCAAUAGACUCCUGAGGUGAAACUUGCUCUUCAACUUGAAUAGAAUCUUCAAGUUCAACUUCUUUAACAUCCUCAUGGUCUCCAACUUCUUCACUUGUAGUGGCUUCGACAUCAGCGGUAAUAGGAUUUGAAGUAUUAGAGGCAACUUUCUCAAGCUCCACCUGUUGGACAUUUUUCACAUUCUUCUCAGAGUCUUUGUACAUACUUUCUUCAUCAAAUGUCACAUCUCUGCUGAUUAUAAGUUUUUUCAUCUCUGGGCACCACAACCGAUAACCUUUUACACCACUACUAAAACCAAGAAAGAUAGCCUUUUUGGCUAUAGGAUCAAGUUUAUUUUCAGUCACAUGAAAAUAAGCAGGUGAACCAAAAAUACGGAUAUAGUCAUAAUCAGAAGAAGGUUUUCCAGUCCAUACCUCCAUUGGUGUCUUACCCUGAACAGCAGUUGAGGAUAACCGGUUGAUGAUGUAACAUGCAUAAUUAACUACUUCUGCCCAAAAUGACUUGCUUAAACCCGACUGAGACAACAUACAUCUAACUUUCUCAAGCAAGGUUCGAUUCAAUCUUUCUGCAACUCCAUUUUGUUGUGGAGUUCCCCGAACACUGAAAUGUCUCACAAUUCCUUCUUCUUUGCAAACUUUAAAGAAAGGGUCGGAUGUGUAUUCACCACCAUUAUUCGAUCUCAAAAUCUUAAUCUUUCUCCCAGUCUGGUUCUCAACCAUUUUCUUCCAACUCAAGAAAAUGCUCAAUACCUCACUCUUGUGCUUCAUAGUGUAAACCCAAGACCUUCUUGAAUAAUCAUCAACAAAGGUCACGAACCAAUGUCUACCACUCAAAGAGGGAGUCUUUGUAGGACCCCAAACAUCCGAAUGCACAUAAUCAAGAAUGCCCUUUGUCUGAUGUACAGCAGUACCAAACUUCACUCUAGUUUGCUUCCCCAAGACACAAUGCUCGCAGAAAUCAAGUUUACAAGUCGUGGCACCUUUUAGAAGGCCUUUUUUUCACAAGCCCUUGUAGAGCUUUCUCACCGGCAUGGCCUAAUCUCAUAUGCCACAAUCUAGUAGUAUCUGAAUCAGAUGUGCCCAUAUUUUCAGAGACUACAGAUGCUUCACCUGUCACAAUGCUUCCCUACAAUAAAUACAAAUGGCCACAUCUAGGAGCUUUCAUCAUAACAAGUGCACCAUAAGUAACUUUCAAUGUCUGUCCAUCUGAAUGAAACCUAAAACCCUUGGAUUCGAAAGUACCCAAAGAAAUAAGAUUUUUCUUCAAAUUCGGUACAUAUCGAACACUUGUCAACUCUUUAACCAUGCCAUCAUGCAACUUCAAAUGAACUGUACCAAUCCCUUUUGUUGUGCAAGGAUUGUCAUCUCCCAUGAACACAACACCACCAUCAAACUCUUUCAAGCUUGAAAACCAAUCCUUGUGAGGAGUCAUAUGAUGAGUACAACCCGUAUCCAACACCCACUUAGGGCUGGUUUGGUAUUGUUGUGCUUUGAAAAAAAGCUGAUGUGAGAAUAAGCGGCUGUGCUGUGAGAAUAAGCGGCUGUGAAAUAAAUCAGCUGAGUGUUUGGUAAACUUUUUUGUAAAAGUGCUUUUGAAAAAAAAAAAAGCAGUCUGAUAGUGAGUCUUUUCAUUAAAGAAGCACUGUAGCUCCGUGUGCUUUGAAAAAAAGCCAGUUUUCCAAAGCUACAAAUAGCAGCUUCAGCUUUUUCCUUUGAUUUCAGCUUAUUCUCACAGCAGCUUCUAAAAUAAGCCCUUUUUUUUCAGUUUACCAAACACCUAAAACCCUCACAGCUUUUUUUCAUGGGUGCUUUUUUUUUAAGCAUCUCACUCCCAAACUAGGUCUUAGUAGCACAAUCAAAUGAUGAGGAAGUGGUUAAAGCAAAAUAAAAAAGAUCUGUUUCAACCUCAACAACAUUGGCUUCAGAACUUUCUUUUCCUUUGGUCUUCAACUUAGGACAAUCUUUCUUCCAAUGGCCCUUAUUAUGACAAAAGGCACAUUCAUCCCUUUCCAAAGGUUUUCUACCUUUAGAGUUUCCUCUAGGUCGAGACUGUGAUUUUUUCCUACUAGAAGAUGAUCUUCUCUCCGAUGAUCUACCUCUAACAAAUAAAGCUUCAGAGGUACUAUCAUGAUUUUUAUCUCUAUGCCUCAUUUCAUAAUUCAUCAAGGCAUUUGACACAUCUUCAAAUUUCACAGUUUCUUUACCAUGCAUAAUAGUGGUAACAAAAUGCUCAUAAGAGUCCGGCAAGGAAUUCAACAAUAUUAAGGCCUUAUCUUCAUCCUUAAUAUCCUCAUCUAAAUUUAACAAGUCGGCAAUCAACUUAUUAAAAGCAUCAAGGUGUCUAAUCAUUUUUUUUGUACCUUCUUUGUAUUAUUGGAAGCGGUAGAGCUUUUUCUUCAAGUGUAGCCGGUUCUCUGCACUCUUCGUCAUAUACUUGUCUUCCAAUUUUUGCCACAACACACUUGCUAAUAUCUCCCGCAUCACAAAAUACUUCUGAGUUUUUGCAAGGCACAACCGAAUUGAAGAGCAAGCCCACAAAUUUAAUUUCUCCCAUUCCGGCUUCGACAUAGCUUCCGGCUUCUCUCCCAAAGCGGCAAGUAGAUCUUGUUGAGCCAACACAUCUUUGACCUCACAUUGCCACAUCCCGAAGUUGUUUGUGCCAUCAAACUUUUCCACUUCGAACUUUGCAUUUUGCACCGUAGUUCUUGCAAACCCGGAGCUGCUUCCAAAAAGAUUCUCAUCUUGCCCGUCUGACAUCUUUGGCAACUAAACAGUACCCAAGAGCAACUAGUGCUCUGAUACCAAUUGUUGUGCUAGGAUAACACCAAACCUUUUAGAACCAACUCUUUUUAACCCACAGGAAAUAUAUCAAAUGAAAAUGCAAGAACAAAAUAGAGAAAAUAACACCAAGAUUUUAACGAGGUUCCUCAACAGUCAGUGUAACUGGAGUACAUCCUCGUAGCAGUAGGAGCUCACCCAAUAAUCCACUAUCAACCAAAUGGGAGUUUACAAAGUGUUGGCAAUCUCACAACCCAAAUAACCCAAUACAUCCAAUAACUCUCACACACCAAAGAAACAAAUAGAGGAAGAAAUAUAAUGAAUAAUUUCUUUUCUAUACAUAUAGCUCAAAGCUAUUACAACAACAACUACUUUGGUGGAUGAUUACUAACCAAAUGAAGCAGCAACUUCUUCUUUCUUUUGGGCUCUCUACAACUCUCCUUGCUCUCGGCAGAAAAUGAGCUCACUUACUGAAAAUGAGCUCUUCCUUCCUUAUUUCAUCUAUCCGAAAAAAGCCUCAUAAUUAUGGCUUUAAAAAAAGCCACAAAACAUGCCACAAAACAAAGAAACAUAAUCAUGUUGUCUUUUCUUUUCUUUAUAAUUUUUUAUAGCCAAAAGUUGGCCACUUGGCCACAUACUCCAACACUGAGCUGUCUCUAGCAAAUAAAGAUCGAUACAAUGAGCUAAAGGGGGAGCUUGAUGUUAUUGAUAGGCAAUACCAUCGAUGUCUUCUCGAGCUCUUGAGGUUGAGGGAAGAAGAAAAUCAGAGUGCAAAGAAGAGGUGGAUAGCGAAAAAGAAAUUAGGUGUUAAUUGAUGUACUAUUUAGUGUUCUCUGUCGUCUUUUUAAUUCCUAUAACAUUCGUUUUAUACUUGUAAUUGUUUUUUCAUCAAGAAAUGCGGCGAAGCGAAUCAUGCCCGUGUUUUUAUGCGUCGAUUUGGUACAUACAUUUGGUUUUACGGUUACUAAUAAUGAUAUUUUCUUUGUUCCAUUGCUUGCCAAAAAAAAAAAAAAAUGCAAAAAAGUGACGGCCUGUGCUAAUACUUCAUAAUUUCGACAAUAAUCCACAAAUGAUAGAGAUAAUGUAUACAUAUAUAUUUGGAUACUUGGACGAAUCUAGAAGCAGAGAUCCCAGUUGACUGACUUUCAGCUAGUUUUUACUUUCCUCCUCACACCCUCUGGUUCAUUUAUGCUUCACCUGAGCCGUCACAAACGAGGACGUGAUCCAGGGAGGCUCGGGGUCUCUCUCGAACGGGAGGAACAUUCAUCAUCGCUUCAUCAACAGCUACCAACCCCCCACCGGAUUUGAGUGAAACUAUUCCGAAUCUGGCUUAAUGGUACAGAGGUACGUAAAUUUAGAAUUGAAGUGAAUAGAAGUUUUGUUAUUUAAACUUGUAGAUCAUGGCACUGGCUUUAGUUGGAGGGGCUGCUGUUGGAGCACUGUUUGGAGCUCUCUAUGAUGUGGUUAAGGUGGCCGUGGGAAAGACUGCUAUGCAGUAUAGACCCUUAC